AGACCCGAAACCCGGUGAUCUAGCCAUGGGCAGGUUGAAGGUUGGGUAACACUAACUGGAGGACCGAACCGACUAAUGUUGAAAAAUUAGCGGAUGACCUGUGGCUGGGGGUGAAAGGCCAAUCAAACCGGGAGAUAGCUGGUUCUCCCCGAAAGCUAUUUAGGUAGCGCCUCGUGAAUUCAUCUCCGGGGGUAGAGCACUGUUUCGGCUAGGGGGCCAUCCCGGCUUACCAACCCGAUGCAAACUGCGAAUACCGGAGAAUGUUAUCACGGGAGACACACGGCGGGUGCUAACGUCCGUCGUGAAGAGGGAAACAACCCAGACCGCCAGCUAAGGUCCCAAAGUCAUGGUUAAGUGGGAAACGAUGUGGGAAGGCCCAGACAGCCAGGAUGUUGGCUUAGAAGCAGCCAUCAUUUAAAGAAAGCGUAAUAGCUCACUGGUCGAGUCGGCCUGCGCGGAAGAUGUAACGGGGCUAAACCAUGCACCGAAGCUGCGGCAGCGAACGUAU
rnacentral:rRNA from 6 species